UCGCGGCUGGAAUCCUCCUUUCUAAGGAAAUAUGAGGCACACUUGGUUUUUGUUUAGUUUUGAGAGAACUUUGUUCUCGAAAUAUAUAUAAGAGAUGGGCCUAUACCUCAGCUGGUUAGAGCGCACGCCUGAUAAGCGUGAGGUCGAUGGUUCGAGUCCAUUUAGGCCCACCAUCUCAAAUUAAUAAUGGGGCCUUAUCUCACCUGGGAGAGCGCCUGCCUUGGCGGCACGAGGUCAUCGGUUCCAUCCCGAUAGGCGCCGCCAAUGUUCCUUGUGAACGAGGAUCCUGAUAGUCAUGCAGA
rnacentral:misc_RNA from 1 species